rnacentral:rRNA from 1 species
GAUGAACGCUGGCGGCGUGCCUAAUACAUGCAAGUCGAGCGAACAGACGAGGAGCUUGCGCCGCUGACGUUAGCGGCGGACGGGUGAGUAACACAUGGAUAACCUACCUAUAUGACUGGGAUAACUUCGGGAAACCGGCGCUAAUACGGGAGAAGAUAUUGAACCGCAGGGGUGGAUAGUGAAAGACGGUGUUGCGGUCACUUAUAGAGGGAUACGGGCCGCAUUAGCUAGUUGGUAAGGUAACGGGUUACCAAGGCAACGAGGCGUAGCCGACGUGAGAGGGUGAUCGGCCACACUGGAGCGGGGCCACGGACCAGGCGCCUGCGGGAGGCAGCAGUAGGGAAUCUGACGCAGUGGGGGAGAGCCUGACGCAGCGACGCCACGUGAGUGAUGGAGGUGUUCGGAUCGUAAUACUCUGUUAUUGGUGAAGAACAAAUGUGUAAGUAACUGUGCACGUCUUGACGGUAACUAAUCAGAAAGCAACGGCUAACUACGUG